rnacentral:snRNA from 1 species
AGAUGUGAGGGGGAUCUGGCUGGGCAGUGUUCACUCCUCCCUUACUGCUCCAUUGCUUCCCCCGAACUGAGUACGCAGUGGAAGAGGGCAGCAUUCUCCAGAGGAUCGUCAGCAGGGGUGUGUGCGUAGCAGCAGUCCCUGCCAGACCCUCCAGGCAAGCUUUCAAGAAGAAAUUUUAAUCAUAAGUACAGCCAGCUGCUUUGAUGGCUCAUCUAUGUAAUCUUGGUAU